GAAAAAAGCCAAGCAGGGCUGAGCCUUCAAGCCAGAUCCCAGGGAAAUCAGGAGGAGCUUUGGUUCUUUGAUGGCAUCUGAGGAGCCUGGUUAAUUAAAAGGGCUUAACUUGACUUGUGUGGGCUCCAAACCUGCAGUGAUAUGAAGGAGAUAUUUUAGCCUAAAAGCACACAACAUAGCCCCAAGGAAAAAAAAGAAUUCACAGCUCAGCAAACAGCAAGUGAAUUGGAAGAGGUUUCCAUCUUGGUAGGUCCUUGCAAAAGCUGGAAACCUGGCUGGAGCAGGGACACUGGAAAACUCAGGAGACUGAAGAGUGGGAAAAUGCUUUAGGCACAGACAAUACAGUUCAUGGCAAGGGAAUGGGAGUACAAAGAUCGUGGUGCCAAGAACCUGCAGAACGCUCAGACAACCUCCCAGAGCCCGGCCACGGCCAGCGGGGAAGGAGCGGCCGGGUGCCUUGGAACGCCGCCCUGCAGCAUCACCUCGCACAGAUGCCUUGUGCAACUUCAGCGUGUCCAAGUGCAGGGAACAGAGGCGAUUCUCUCAGCAGAAUGGAGCAUCAGCCCACUUGUGCAGGAGGAACAGAAGAAGGCAGAACGCCCGCCCGAGGUUAUCCAGCAGGACACGGAUUAGGCCGCGUGUUUCCCGGAUCAGCUGAAAAGAAAUCCUCUUGUGCUGGAUCUCAGCCUCCCUCAUCCUUGUCCGCCCGCAUCCCUUGAGGGUGACGGAUCCCGGACAGCGGCUCGGGCGCAGCCCUUUGGAAAGUGGCGCUCGCAAGGAGCUCUUGUUCCGCCGUGUUCUCCGUCCUGUGCCAGCCCUGCGUGUGUUGAACCACCCGUGCGAGAUGCCAGAGCUGUUCUACCCGCAGAGAUGUGCCCAGCGCAUCCCAGAGGAGCGGCUCAAGGAAUCCCCAGGGCACGGAGCUGAGCUGAGCUCCAGCUCGGGGCUAAGCUCCCAUGCGUGUCCUGUCUGUCCUCUGCUGAUCCCGGCAUGGACAACGCAUCAGCGCUAUGUGAAAUAAAGCUUUUGUUUCUCUCGAGCAGCCCCUUCCCUCCCCUGGGGCAUGGAGGCAGAUCCAGCGGCACCAAAAACCUUCAGGGCACACCCGGCUCAGCCCCCUGAGCCUGCCUGGAGGAGGUGAGAGGUGCGGGAGUCAAGUGUCUGCUGGG